ensembl:snoRNA
AAUCCCAUUUAUUUACUUCCAUGCUAUCUCAGUGGCAUGAGUAGUUAUACGCGUGGGAAAGAGUAUGCAAGUCCAUUGCAAAUGAGAGGUGGAAGUAGCAGUAUUUCAUCUUGUCUGCUGGGGCUGGACAACU